rnacentral:rRNA from 1 species
GGGAAUUUUCCGCAAUGGGCGAAAGCCUGACGGAGCAAUACCGCGUGAGGGAUGACUGCCUAUGGGUUGUAAACCUCUUUUCUCAAGGAAGAAGAUCUGACGGUACUUGAGGAAUAAGCCACGGCUAAUUCCGUGCCAGCAGCCGCGGUAAUACGGGAGUGGCAAGCGUUAUCCGGAAUUAUUGGGCGUAAAGCGUCCGCAGGCGGCCUUUCAAGUCUGCUGUUAAAGCGUGGAGCUUAACUCCAUUAAGGCAGUGGAAACUGUUGGGCUUGAGUGUGGUAGGGGCAGAGGGAAUUCCCGGUGUAGCGGUGAAAUGCGGAGAUAUCGGGAAGAACACCAGUGGCGAAGGCGCUCUGCUGGGCCAUAACUGACGCUCAUGGACGAAAGCCAGGGGAGCGAAAGGGAUUAGAUACCCCUGUAGUCA